ACAAAAUUCAUUAUUACUAUUAUCAAGUGCAAGGACAGUUGCACAUAACGAAUAGACAAUGCGCUCUAUUCUGUUUAUGGACGCCGAAAGGAAUGAAAAUUAUAAAAGUGCCAAGAAAUGAUACAUUCUGGGCAACAGAGAUGGAGGAAAAACUGAGGAAGUUUUAUGAGGACUGCAUGUUGCCAGAAAUCAUAGAUAGUAGAUUCAAUCGACACCAGCCGAUUAGAGAACCACCGUAUAUAAAAACAGGAGGAGCAUGUACAAGUACACAAGUACAGAGUGACUAAUGCACCGACGAGUGCAUUCAGCUCAUAUGGAGAGCUGUCAAAGAAAAAAGUGCAACCCGAAGUCACUAAUGCACCGACGAGUGCAUUCAGCUCAUAUGGAGAGCUGUCAAACAAGAAAAUACAAUUCAAAGUGACUAAUGCACCGACGAGUGCAUUCAGCUCAUAUGGAGAGCUGUCAAACAAGCAAUUGCAAUCCACAGUCACUAAUGCACCGACGAGUGCAUUCAGCUCAUAUGGAGAGCUGUCAAACAAGCAAUUGCAAUCCACAGUCACUAAUGCACCGACGAGUGCAUUCAGCUCAUAUGGAGAGCUGUCGAAUAAUAGAAGUACAAAAUAAUGUAAGUACGUAAAAGAAUGUAACUAUGAAAGUAUUUGGAGAGUGAAGAGGACCGUCUAUGACGGGGGUGGUGGUGGGUCUCUUCACACUCUCCUAAUAAUUGAUACUUGCAGCUACGUUUCCUUUCUUUUCACAGGAAGAGUACAAUGUAUGACAGCUGACCAGUAUCAAUGGUGAAAAUCCUGUUCUAUGAAGGGAGGAAAGGAACCAGGUCUUCCCAAUGCAAGCAUAAAGAUAAGUAAAACACAUACAUUUACAAAUGUAUUGCAUGCAGAUUGAUUAGAACUGAUUAUAACUUUUCAUCGUAGGUUCAAUGAGAAUAUACUCUGUACACCAUUGCAAGAAAUUUUGGUGAGAAAUAGGAAAGUACGAGUGGAUUCAUCAGGAAGUAUCAGACCAGGGUGUACAGCAUGAUAGUUGAAGAUAUUCGGUAUCGUCUCAACCAAUUUGUA